rnacentral:rRNA from 1 species
AACUAACGCUGGCGGCGCGUCUUAAACAUGCAAGUCGAACGGAGUAGCAAUACUCAGUGGCAAACGGGUGAGUAACACGUAGGUAAUCUACCGUCGGGUGGGGGACAACUCAGGGCAACUUGAGCUAAUACCGCAUAACAUCCAUUUUUCUCCGGAAGGAUGGAUCAAAGCAGCAAUGCGCCUGAUGAUGAGCCUGCGGCCUUUUAGCUAGUUGGUGAGGUAAUGGCUCACCAAGGCAACGAUGGGUAGCCGGCCUGAGAGGGUGAUCGGCCACACUGGGACUGAGACACGGCCCAGACUCCUACGGGAGGCAGCAGUGGGGAAUAUUGGACAAUGGGGGGAACCCUGAUCCAGCCAUGCCGCGUGUGUGAAGAAGGCCUUAUGGUUGUAAAGCACUUUAAGCGAGGAGGAGGCUCUUUUGGUUAAUACCCAAGAUGAGUGGACGUUACUCGCAGAAUAAGCACCGGCUAACUCUGUGCCAGCCGCCGCCGUAA